AAGAGCCGACGAGGUGGCCCAGUGGGGCCGGGACGCGCGCUGAAUGCCGCGUCGGGGCGGUGAGCGUUUGUCGGGCAGAGUGUUCCAAUCUUCCGGUCCGUGCUCCUCGAGCCUGUGCAGCCCCCCAGGUUGCAGGGCCCGGUCCCCCGGUCCCCGUGGGCGCCCACGCAGGUGGCGCCUUCCCGGCCAGUGGCCAUGCGCUGCAAUUUGAGAAGGAGGCCCAGUGGAGAACGUUGAACCCGGGUAUAGACACCGUUGGGGUUCCCUCUGCUUGAUCCAAAUGAGAUGGGGUAAAGUCACAGUACCUUUCUCUGCUUCCACGUUUUACCUGCUUUCCGGGGAAGGUGAACCCAAGUAACGCUUGGGUUGCUUCUGACGUAGUAACUCAGCUUAUGGCUACGGCAUCCCCGGUCCUUUUCAUGAAAAUGUCAGCGUUGUUUGGACAGUGCCACUUACUGCUCAGAACGUAAAUCCCACGGCUCUACCAGCUCCCAAACUAAACAUUUAUCCUACAGUUAGGGCUGCAUCUACAAUCACUGAGAUGCAGUGAUGUACAAACCGAGUUGGGAUCGGUGAUGAAUUGAUUUGGGGGUAACGCUAAAAUGAUAUGGAAGACAAAGAUUACUAUAAGGAAGGAACCUUUCUGAGAGCGUGCUUUGGAUACCCGGGAAAGGAAUGAAUUGGAAGCACACCAGGCAUCUCCUGUUGUAAAUGGCUGCUCUGCUUUCUGCCCCGAGGCUCUUCUGACUUUGCCUACCGGAGGCCAGCAGUAGCUCUCUCAGCUCACGCCACGCACAGCUUUGAAGUGUUGGUUUAUAUUGAAGUCAUUGUGGCCUUAUAUUCACACAUGCUGGCUUUUGCUCUAUCAUUUCCAAAAACUCAAAGAGAAUGGUGUAAAACAUAGAAUGAAAGCAGGAGUCGCCGGAUAUCUCUGUCCAAUAUUUGGAGGAAGACUUCUGGGAAAUGGCUGGCAGCUCACAAUGUCUAUUGAAGCAAAUGAACUCUGUAAAAUGAGAGAUUUGCAAGAAUCCUUAAAAUUUCUGCAAUUAAAGAAUGACCAGGCAGUACUCUUUGAAAAUUGGAGACCAUUUGCACCUGCUCUCUGUUGAGGAAAGUGAAUAAUAGGGUGCCCUCAAGGAAUUUCGAAGGUAUCACUCAACAGAAACUUUUGUGUCUGAAGAAAACUAGAUCAUUUUAUCAUGGUAGGCAUAGUGAUAUGUUUGCUUUAAUAAAAUGCCAUAUUUCUGCCUUUAAUCUCUUGUCAACCAGCUAU